CUGAAUUUCCCAAAGAAAAGAAAGCCUUUCAUCGUCUAUGAUAUUCUCUCCCAAAUACACACAUGGUUUGUUUCUCUCUAUUUUCCCUUCUUCUUUGCUCGCUACUGUCAACUAAGAGAGGCCAACUUUUUUAUACAAUUUACAAGAAGAAGACAUCUGAGGGGUUUCACCCCAUUACCCUACCUGAUUGCACAGCGUUGCAUGCUUUUAUAUUAUGGUUUUCUCAAGACAAAUGGAACCCUGAUUGUCAGCAUUAACGCCAUUGGAUGUGCUAUAAUAUAUACAGCCACAUAUGCAAGUGGAGGCACAAUUGUUGCAAUACAUUUAACGGUGCAAAGCUUUGCCAAAUAUUUCUUUUCCUUUUUUUUUUUUUCAACUUUCUGUAAUAUAGGGACUGAAAUUUUCCACUUGAAAUAAACAUUGCAAAGAUUGAGAAUCA